ACCUGGGUGGCUCAGUUGGUUGAGAGUCCAACUUUGGCUUGGGUCAUGUUCUCGUGGUUGGUGGGUUCAAGUCCCACAUCAGGCU
rnacentral:tRNA from 1 species